GAUGAACGCUGGCGGCGUGCCUAAUACAUGCAAGUCGAGCGAACGGACGAGAAGCUUGUUUCUCUGAUGUUAGCGGCGGACGGGUGAGUAACACGUGGAUAACUUACCUAUAAGACUGGGAUAACUUCGGGAAACCGGAGCUAAUACCGGAUAAUAUUUUGAACCGCAUGGUUCAAAAGUGAAAGACGGUCUUGCUGUCACUUAUAGAUGGAUCCGCGCUGCAUUAGCUAGUUGGUAAGGUAACGGCUUACCAAGGCAACGAUGCAUAGCCGACCUGAGAGGGGGAUAGGCCACACUAGAACUGAAACACGGUCCAGACUCCUACGGGAGGCAGCAGUAGGGAAUCUUCCGCAAUGGGCGAAAGCCUGACGGAGCAACGCCGCGUGAGUGAUGAAGGUCUUCGGAUCGUAAAACUCUGUUAUUAGGGAAGAACAUAUGUGUAAGUAACUGUGCACAUCUUGACGGUACCUAAUCAGAAAGCCACGGCUAACUACGUG
rnacentral:rRNA from 1 species